CGAUGCAACGCGAAGAACCUUACCUGGGCUUGACAUCCCGAGAAUCCCCUGGAAACAGGGGAGUGCCUUCGGGAACCCGGAGACAGGUGCUGCAUGGCUGUCGUCAGCUCGUGUCGUGAGAUGUUGGGUUAAGUCCCGCAACGAGCGCAACCCUUGUCUUAAUUGCCAGCAUUCAGUUGGGCACUUUAAAGAGACUGCCGGUGUUAAGCCGGAGGAAGGUGGGGAUGACGUCAAGUCCUCAUGGCCUUUAUGCCCAGGGCUACACACGUGCUACAAUGGGUGGUACAAAGAGAUGCCAACUCGCGAGAGCGCGCCAAUCUCAGAAAGGCCAUCCUCAGUUCGGAUUGGAGUCUGCAACUCGACUCCAUGAAGUUGGAAUCGCUAGUAAUCGCGGAUCAGCACGCCGCGGUGAAUACGUUCCCGGGCCUU
rnacentral:rRNA from 1 species